rnacentral:rRNA from 1 species
CCUACGGGAGGCUGCAGUAGGGAAUCUUCCACAAUGGGCGCAAGCCUGAUGGAGCAACACCGCGUGAGUGAAGAAGGGUUUCGGCUCGUAAAGCUCUGUUGUUGGAGAAGAACGUGCGUGAGAGUAACUGUUCACGCAGUGACGGUAUCCAACCAGAAAGUCACGGCUAACUACGUGCCAGCAGCCGCGGUAAUACGUAGGUGGCAAGCGUUAUCCGGAUUUAUUGGGCGUAAAGCGAGCGCAGGCGGUUGCUUAGGUCUGAUGUGAAAGCCUUCGGCUUAACCGAAGAAGUGCAUCGGAAACCGGGCGACUUGAGUGCAGAAGAGGACAGUGGAACUCCAUGUGUAGCGGUGGAAUGCGUAGAUAUAUGGAAGAACACCAGUGGCGAAGGCGGCCUUCCGGCGCCCUACUGACGCUGAGGCACGAAAGUGCGGGGAUCGAACAGGAUUAGAUACCCCUGUAGUC